AUAUAAAGUCAGGCCUGCCCAGUGAGAAAUUUAACGGCCGCGGUACUCUGACCGUGCAAAGGUAGCAUAAUCAUUUGCCUUUUAAUUGAAGGCUGGAAUGAAUGGUUUAACGAAGAUACAACUGUCUCCUUAUGAUUAUUUAGAAUUUUAUUUUAGGAUGAAAAAGUCCUAAUUUUAUUAAAAGACAAGAAGACCCUAUCGAGCUUAAUAUUAAUUAGUAAAUUAAAUUAUAACUAAGAAUUUGUUACUAAAAAAUUUAGUUGGGGCAACUAAGGAGUAAAUUAAGCCUCCUAAUACCAUAUAAAUUUACAUAUUUUGAUCCAUUUUUGAUUAAAGGAAAUAGUUACCGUAGGGAUAACAGCAUUAUCCUCUUUGAGAGUUCAUAUCGAAAAGAGGGUUUGUGACCUCGAUGUUGGACCAAAGUAUCCUAAAGAUGCAGAAGUCUUUAAGGGUUGGUCUGUUCGACCAUUAAAACUUUA
rnacentral:rRNA from 1 species